rnacentral:rRNA from 1 species
GGUCAAGUUACUAAGGGUUGACGGUGGAUGCCUUGGCACAGAGAGGCGAUGAAAGACGUGGCAAGCAGCGAUAUGCCUCGGGGAGCGGCAAGCACGCUUAGAUCCGGGGAUUUCUGAAUGGGGCAACCCCACUGGAGUCAUGUCCAGUGAUCACCACCUGAAUACAUAGGGUGGAUGAGGCGAACCGAGGGAAGUGAACCAUCUCAGUACCUCGAGGAAGAGAAAUCAAACGAGAUUCCGUCAGUAGCGGCGAGCGAACGCGGAAGAGCCCAAACCGAUGGCCUUCGGGCUGUCGGGGUUGUGGGGCCCGCUCACAUGGAGUGACAAACCGAUUGUCUAGUCGAAGAGUCCGGAACGGCUCACCAGAGAAGGUGACAGUCCUGUAGGCGAAAGGCAAACGGCUCCGAGUGGGUACCCGAGUACCACGGGACACGUGGAACCCUGUGGGAAUCUGGGGGGACCAUCCUCCAAGGCUAAACACUACUCUGUGACCGAUAGCGCACUAGUACCGUGAGGGAAAGGUGAAAAGAACCCCUGUUAGGGGAGUGAAAUAGUACCUGAAACCGUCAAUCUACAAGCAGUGGAACCGCUAUGCCUCCGCAAGGGGGAAUGCGGGACCGCGUGCCUUUUGCAUAAUGAGCCGGCUAGUUACUCUCAGGGGCAAGGCGAAGCAAUUUGCAUAGCCGUAGCGAAAGCGAGUCUGAAUAGGGCGAAAAUGAGUCGCUGGGAGUACACGCGAAGCGGGAUGAUCUAGGCAUGGCCAGGAUGAAACCUGGGUAACACCAGGUGGAGGUCCGAACCAGUGUUGGUUGAAAACAGCUUGGAUGAGCUGUGCCUAGGGGUGAAAGGCCAAUCAAAUUCCGUUAUAGCUCGUUCUCUCCGAAAUAUCUUUAGGGAUAGCGUCGCGUCGACCAUGAUGGUGGUAGAGCGCUGGAUGGACUAGGGGCCUUACCGGGUUACUGAAUCCAACCAAACUUCGAAUGCCAUCAAUGCAAUGCGCGGCAGUCAGACGGCGGGGGAUAAGCUUCGUCGUCGAGAGGGGAACAACCCAGACCGCCAGCUAAGGUCCCCAAAUUCACGCUAAGUGGAAAAGGAUGUGGAGACGCACAGACAGCCAGGAGGUUGGCUUAGAAGCAGCCACCCUUUAAAGAAAGCGUAAUAGCUCACUGGUCAAGUGGCUCCGUGCCGACAAUGUAACGGGGCUCAAGCGUGGUACCGAAGCUGCGGAUCUACACGAUCCUUCGGGAUCGAGUAGGUGGUAGGAGAGCAUUCUGAACCGGAGUGAAGUCAGACCGAAAGGACUGGUGGACCGUUCAGAAGAGACUCUGCCGGCACAAGUAGCGAUAAAGUGUGUGAGAAUCACACUCGCCGUAAGUCUAAGGUUUCCUGAGGAAGGUUCGUCCGCUCAGGGUCAGUCGGUCCCUAAGGCGAGGCCGAAAGGCGUAGUCGAUGGGAAACAGGUCAACAUUCCUGUACCGGACCGUGAUGCGAUGGGGUGACGCAGGAGGAUAGGUGGGCCACCGAACGGAAGUGGUGGUCGAAGCUGGUAGGAUGACUGGGCAGGCAAAUCCGUCCGGUUAUAUCCGAGAAGCGAGUGCGAGCCCUUUUUUGGGCGAAGUCACUGAUUCCAGGCUGCCAAGAAAAACCUCUAAGCUUCAGUCACGGGACGACCGUACCGCAAACCGACACAGGUAGACGGGAAGAGAAUUCCAAGGCGCGUGAGUGAUCCCUCGUGAAGGAACUCGGCAAAUUAGCACCGUAACUUCGGAAGAAGGUGUGCUGACUGUCGUUAGCUUCCUCGCGAAGUGAAGCGACAGUUAGUCGCAGUGAAAUGCCCCAAGCGACUGUUUAUCAAAAACACAGGGCUCUGCAAAGUCGAAAACGACGUAUAGGGUCUGACUCCUGCCCGGUGCCGGAAGGUUAAGGGGAGCGGUUAGCCGCAAGGCGAAGCUGCGAACCGAAGCCCCGGUAAACGGCGGCCGUAACUAUAACGGUCCUAAGGUAGCGAAAUUCCUUGUCGGGUAAGUUCCGACCUGCACGAAUGGAGUAACGAUUUGGGGACUGUCUCCACGAGGGGCUCAGCGAAUCUGUAGCGCUGGUGAAGAUGCCAGCUACCCGCAACUAGACGGAAAGACCCUGUGCACCUUUACUGCACCCUGGCAGUGAACUUUGGUGCUGUAUGUGUAGGAUAGGUGGGACUCUUUGAAGCCGGGCCGCUAGGUUCGGUGGAGAGGCCGGUGAAAUACCACCCUUACAGUACCGAAGUUCUAACCGAGGUCCGUGAUCCGGAUCCGGGACAUUGCCAGGCGGGCAGUUUGACUGGGGCGGUCGCCUCCCAAAGUGUAACGGAGGCUCGCGAAGGUUCCCUCAGGCUGUUUGGAAAUCAGCCGACGAGUGCAAAGGCAGAAGGGAGCUUAACUGCAAGACCUACAAGUCGAGCAGAUGCGAAAGCAGGCCUUAGUGAUCCGGUGGUUCUGUAUGGAAGGGCCAUCGCUCAAAGGAUAAAAGGUACGCCGGGGAUAACAGGCUGAUCCUGACCAAGAGUUCACAUCGACGUCAGGGUUUGGCACCUCGAUGUCGGCUCAUCGCAUCCUGGGGCUGGAGCAGGUCCCAAGGGUCCGGCUGUUCGCCGGUUAAAGCGGUACGUGAGCUGGGUUCAGAACGUCGCGAGACAGUUCGGUCCCUAUCUGUUGUGGGCGGAGGAGAAUUGAGAGGAGGUUUCCUUAGUACGAGAGGACCGGGAAGCACUGACCUCUAGUGUACGAGUUGUCACGCCAGUGGCAUCGCUCGGUAGCUAAGUCGGGAAAGGAUAAUCGCUGAAAGCAUAUAAGCGAGAAGCCAACCUCGAGAUGAGUUCUCCCUGAAGACCCGUGGUAGAUGACCACGUUGAUAGGCUGGAUGUGUACGAGCAGUGAUGCUCUGAGCUGACCAGUACUAAUCGGUCG